GACGAACGCUGGCGGCGUGCUUAACACAUGCAAGUCGAACGGAAAGGCCCUGCUUUUGUGGGGUGCUCGAGUGGCGAACGGGUGAGUAACACGUGAGUAACCUGCCCUUGACUUUGGGAUAACUUCAGGAAACUGGGGCUAAUACCGGAUAGGAGCUCCUGCUGCAUGGUGGGGGUUGGAAAGUUUCGGCGGUUGGGGAUGGACUCGCGGCUUAUCAGCUUGUUGGGGGGGUAGUGGCUUACCAAGGCUUUGACGGGUAGCCGGCCUGGGAGGGGGACCGGCCACAUUGGGACGGAGAUACGGCCCAGACUCCUACGGGAGGCAGCAGUGGGGAAUAGUGCACAAUGGGCGGAAGCCUGAUGCAGCAACGCCGCGUGCGGGAUGACGGCCUUCGGGUUGUAAACCGCUUUCGCCUGUGACGAAGCGUGAGUGACGGUAAUGGGUAAAGAAGCACCGGCUAACUACGUG
rnacentral:rRNA from 1 species